UACAGAGGGUGCGAGCGUUGUUCGGAGUUACUGGGCGUAAAGGGUGUGUAGGCGGUUGUUUAAGUUUGGUGUGAAAUCUCCCGGCUCAACUGGGAGGGUGCGCCGAAUACUGAAUGACUAGAGUGCGGGAGAGGAAAGUGGAAUUCCUGGUGCAGCGGUGAAAUGCGUAGAUAUCAGGAGGAACACUGGUGGUGUAGACGGCUUUCUGGACCGUAACUGACGCUGAGACACGAAAGCGUGGGUAGCAAACAGG
rnacentral:rRNA from 1 species